UUUGUGUGUGAACCAAGUGGGAUGAUGCUUAUCCAGAUCCAAGGGCUUUCAAAUCUUGAUCAAAAUUCUACUGAAAUAUUUGAAAAAAGCAGUAAAAGCCUUCUUAUGGGUUCCAGUCCCAGUUCAAAGGGAAAGAUUGGGUUUGAGUAGAAUGUCCCAUCUUUGCCACCUGCAUGCUGGUGCUGUGGUGGUGGCCGGGUCCCCAGGGUCCCUCAUCACCCACCUGAGAAUUGAAGAUCCCCAAAAUGGACACACCCCUGGUCUAUUUCCCAGGAGAUCGGACUUAAUUGGAGCCCUGUCAGCUUAAGUUUGACUUUCGUCAAAGGGCCGUACAAGAAGCAACGCUAUGGAGGCAACCUUUGAAUUUUAUACCCAACUGUUAUCUAAGAGGUCUUGCGCACUGCUAAGAAAUCUACUGGGUACCCCUAAUGAAUUUCUCUUGGAGGGUGAGGUCAAAAAGGUUUUCAAAAUUUUUGGAAAUACUGGUGUACCUUCUAACACCAGUCGGUGCAGAUCCUGAGAAAGCUGGAGGUACUUCUGGGCCUGUCCUAGUACCCCUGGCGGGGACCCUUGGCAUCCCAGGUGGGUUUGCACCUCUACCACAAAAUCUGUUGCAGAAUUCCCCGGGUGCAAUAGGUCCGUAACUCAGAUGACAACUGAGUGGAAGGAUCGCUAGAGACAUUGCAUAUGUUGAGUGAAAGGAGACUGAAGACUCAAAGAUAGGAGACACGACAAGCACACUUCUCCAUUUAUAUAACUAUGCGGCCCCAGAACUCAGGAUUCCAGGCGAGCUGCCUGGUGGCUCUCUCUCGGGGCUGGCUUCUUAGCACAUUAAUACAAGGAUGCACUUCGGCCGGGUCUGCACAUUGCUCUGUCCACCCCACGGCUCCCUCCCCAGAUCCUGGAUGUUGGUCCUGCCCAUCUGAGGGAUUCCUGCUAUUUUCCAAGACAGUCAAGAAGAGAACAAGAAACCUCUGCAUCUCCCCAGCCACACAUCAAGAGAAACGCAGAAUCGCAAAAACGUUGGUUCAUUACCAUUAUGAACUCCUGGACCUGUCCUCCUUCCCAGAAGGAAUAGAAGGUUUCUUUUUGGGUGACUUCAGAUCCUGGUGAUCUGCUAAAAAGACAAACCUAGAGGAUUCUAUCAGUUUUCAGAGGACAAGGUAAGUCAGCCCGGUGGGGAGUGACGUAGAUGACGAGGUGUGAUUUGCAUGGUCCUUACAGAAACAAUACCUUGUGACGCACUGGCAAGCUGAUGUUUGUCUCAAAUGCCAAGAUAUCACAGUCCCCCAGACCCAUGAACCAAAAAGCCAAGUUCACACUUGCACGUCCACACCCACACGCGUACACACACAAACACCACACGCCCUGUCCUUAGCGACCCCACAGAUGGUCAGACCGUAAGCUUCCCGGCGGUGUGGAAGGGCCUGGGCUUCAAAGAGAAGCAGAGCCAGCUCAGCCAAGAACCUGACUGAAUCCAGAAAUAGAACAGAAAGGGAGCCAAGAGGAAAGAGGGGGAGAGAAGGAGACCGAGGGAGGGAGACUGAGGACAGAAAUAAAAGCACUUGACAGCCGUGUGGGAUUCUCCUGGGGACUGGGAACACCCAUGUGCCUGCACACCACAGGCUGGCCCUGCGCCCCACUACGGCGCUGCGAGUUCAGGGCAGCACGCUCCUUUAGGGGUGUCACCUCUGCAAAGCCCAGUGGAAACUCCAUUUGGGAAAGCAGGACUCCGAGAGAGGCAUUUUAUCAGAGCUCCAGCAAAGACGUCCCCUGAAGGAGGUGCGGGGAAGUCUAGUCUUCCGAAGGUGUCGCUCACUUAAUGAUAAGAGGAAGAAGAAAACACGUAAGGGACCCGGAAUGGAAUGGACACAUGCACACGACAGUGCUGAAGCUCACAAGUUGACAGUCUUAUCAUGGUGGAAAAACAGCAAUCUUCUCACCGGACGAUUGCAUCCCUGAGGGGCAUGCUACAUCUCUGACAUCAUCGCCCAAGUCCGGAUUAAAGUUGUCCCUGGGGCGCCUGGUGGCUCAGUCCUUUGAGCGCCCGACUCCGGAUUUCGGCCCAGGUCACGAUCUCAGGGUCGGGAGAUCGAGCCCCGUGUCGGGUGUGGAGCCUGCUUAACAUUCUCUCUCUCCCUCUCCCCCUGCCCCUUC